rnacentral:rRNA from 1 species
UACGGAGGGUGCGAGCGUUGUCCGGAAUCACUGGGCGUAAAGGGCGCGUAGGCGGCCUGAUAAGUAGGGGGUGAAAUCCUGCGGCUUAACCGCAGGGCUGCCUUCUAAACUGUCAGGCUCGAGCACAGUAGAGGCAGGUGGAAUUCCCGGUGUAGCGGUGGAAUGCGUAGAGAUCGGGAAGAACAUCAGUGGCGAAGGCGGCCUGCUGGGCUGUUGCUGACGCUGAGGCGCGAAAGCGUGGGGAGCGAACAGG